GUGGGUUUGUAGCUCAGUUGGUAGAGCAUUAGAUUGAAGCUCUCCAAACUGAUGUCGUGAGUUCGAUUCUCAUCACCCGCUCCA
rnacentral:tRNA from 1 species